rnacentral:rRNA from 1 species
UUUCCGUAGGUGAACCUGCGGAAGGAUCAUUGUCGAAACCUGCAAACGCUGAACGACCCGCGAAUCGGUGACACAAUUAACUCGGGGGACGGGCCUCCGUGCCCGUCGCUCGAAGUCUUAGGCGACGGUUGUGGGAAAAACUCCACCUCCUUCGUCGCGGGCGCAAACAACAAACCCCCCGGCGUGAAUCGCGCCAAGGAAUUCUAUGGAAAGAAAAAAAGAAACCGACGCGUUGCUUCCCCAUGGUUUCGGAUGCCGGUGCCUUGGGGUGGCUUACGUCGUCGUUUCUGCCAAAUGAGAAAUGACUCUCGGCAACGGAUAUCUCGGCUCUCGCAUCGAUGAAGAACGUAGCGAAAUGCGAUACUUGGUGUGAAUUGCAGAAUCCCGUGAACCAUCGAGUUUUUGAACGCAAGUUGCGCCCAAAGCCGUCAGGUCGAGGGCACGCUUGCCUGGGUGUCACGCAACGUCGCCAAAUAUUCCCCCAAUCCUUGUAGCGAGGAAAAAUGAGAGGGUUGGCGGAUAUUGGCUUCCCGUGUGUUCUUUUCUCGCGGUUGGCCUAAAAGAGAUCCUCGGACGCGGCACCCACGACGCGCGGUGGUUGGCAGCAUGUGCUCCUCGAACUCCGUCGUGGGCGAGCUUCGUCGGCGGGGGACUGGAAGGACCCCGACGCAAAGCGUCUAGCGAAGCGACCCCAGGUCAGGCGG